ensembl:snRNA U6 U6 spliceosomal RNA
GUACUCAGGUAGUACUCAUACUAAAAUUGGAUGGAUACAGAGAUUAGAAUGGCCCCUGUGAAAAGACAAUAUGCAAAUUCUGAAGCACUCCAUUCUCCU